rnacentral:rRNA from 1 species
AACGUAGGACGCGAGCGUUAUCCGGAGUUAUUGGGCGUAAAGCGCGCGUAGGCGGCCCGUUAAGUCGGAUGUGAAAACCCGUGGCUCAACCACGGGCCUGCAUCCGGUACUGGCGGGCUCGAGGCAGGCAGGGGAGAUCGGAAUUCCUGGUGUAGCGGUGAAAUGCGCAGAUAUCAGGAGGAACACCGGUGGCGAAGGCGGAUCUCUGGGCCUGUCCUGACGCUCAGGCGCGAAAGCUAGGGGAGCGAACGGG